CCCCCGCCGCCCCCGGGCCGGACUCGGACGGGCUCAGCGGGCUGGCCAGAUGGGGCCGUGGGACGGGGACGCCUCCCCGACUGAAAGUGUCCCCGCGGUGAUCCGGAGGAUGAGCCCACCCUGCCCUGUCUCCCACUGCGGGACCCGGCCGGCCUCGAACUCCUGGCCUUUGACGUCUGCUGGCUUUGGCCUUGGGGGUCCUCAAACCUUCUGGAGACAGGGGACGGUCCCCCCAUCCCCCUUCUUUCUUCUGCUCAGGGAGACAGAGCCUCUUCUAGGAACCCACUUAAAGCCCCCCCCAACCUACACAGCCACCCCUCUUGUGCGUACCCCAGCAGCUCCCCCUACUUUACCUUCCCUGGGACCCCACCUGGUCAUUUUAUCUGAGUUCACAGGCCCAGCACCAGCCCACGAGAGAACCAUAUUCGAUUCUCUUGUGACCCAGGGUAUCAGGAACUGCAGCCUGGAUGCAAAAAGCUCCCUUUCUGCCAUCACAAGCAGCCGGCACCUAAGGCCACCUAGCAAAUGCUCAGCUCCUCAGCCAGGUUUUCUUAUCUCCACGUGCUCCUGCAGCUAAUAACGUUAAAACCCUAGAUUUUUGCCUUUUUAAGUGAAGGUGCCUCUGUAGUGAACACAUGAAUGUGUGCAGCGUGUGUUGAACUGCGUCGUGAACACUGCGGAAUAUCCACAGCAUCUGUGCCGUUGGUGGAAAUUAUUCACACCCCCUCUCCCAAGAACAGGCAGCAUGAAGGUGCUCCCCAGAGGACCCUCUCCCCGAACCUGGCCAGGGUUUCAGGCAGGGGAUGAAAGGCAGGUCCCAGGCUGCAUCCCUCACCAAGGAAAGAAGACUCACAUCCAGCCUGCCCAGGAGAUGCCUCCUCGGGGAGGCACAAUUAGAUUAGAAAUUUAGAAAUUCCUUAGCUCCCCACAAUUUGCUGCCAUUUCCUUCAAGUUUUGAGCUUGAACAGCCUUGAGAAAACCACCAAUCAUGAAGGCGCAAGCCCUAGAUAUGUGGGUGUUGGGGGGUGGUUGUGGCCAAGAAACCCCCCAGUCCAUUAAGGGGGUGGGAUUAGAUCCUUUGUUCAAAUUUUUUCAUUGAGCUCCUGCUGUAUGCUGGUCACAGGCCAGGCACUAGGGUAUUAAUAGUAAUGACUAUAAUAACCACAGUGGCCAGAGA